rnacentral:rRNA from 1 species
GAUGAACGCUAGCGAUAGGCUUAGCACAUGCAAGUCGAGGGGCAGCAUGGUCUUAGCUUGCUAAGGCUGAUGGCGACCGGCGCACGGGUGCGUAACGCGUAUGCAACUUGCCUCACAGAGGGGGAUAACCCGUCGAAAGACGGACUAAUACCGCGUACACUCUAUGUUGGACACCCAAUGUAGAGGAAAUGAAAUUCGCUGUGAGAUAUGCAUGCGUCCCAUUAGCUAGUUGGUGAGGUAACGGCUCACCAAGGCGGCAAUGGGUAGGGGAAAUGAGAGGUUGAAACCCCGCACUGGUACUGAGGCACAGACCAGCACCCGACGGGAGGCAGCAGUGAGGACUAUUAGUCAAUGAGCGAGAGCCUGAACCAGCCAAGUCAGGUGAAGGAUGACUGUCAUAUGGAUUGUAAGCUUCUUUUGUACGAGAAUAACGAGAGUCACGUGUCGCUCCCUGCAUGUACCGUAUGAAUAAGCCACGGCUAACUCCGUG